CACUGCUCCCAGGUGCCCAGCAAUGGGAGGAGGCGAGGAGGCCGCAUGGCUCAUCCUGGGGGAGGAGUGAGACCCGGGGGUCUGGCCCGCUGAAGGCUCCUCCCAGGGACUGUUCCCAGGUUCGGGGUCAGAGCCCCGACCCUGUGGGUCCGUGAGACCCCCCUCCCUAGGAAGAGCAUGGCAGAGCUGUGCGGGGUGCAGCUGGUUGCAUGACUGGAGAAGGCUGGUCAGAUGCAGGCGGGGUCCUGAGAGCACAAGGGCAAUGAAUGCAGCAGCAGGGCGUCCUCACACCCAAUUCCCAUCUCUGGAGCUGCAGCAGAGGGAGGGAGGGAGCCCAGUGGUGCACACAAGGCAGGGAGCUGACUGAGACACUGGAUAUACCAGGAAAAGCAGCCACAGCUGCCCCUGGAUGUGGACAAGCAUAAGGUCCCAUUGAGGGAUGAGUGGGGAGAGUCUACGGGCACCUAUGUUGUACCAAGUGCCCAGUUUAAGGGAGGGCGAUACAGACCUUGGUCUUUGAGACGGCUGCGCUUUGAGCCUGGUCCCACCCUCUCGCCCCUGCCCGAUCCCUGGUGAUAGAGGUGCACAGCCAGAUGGAGGGCGUGGUGCUCACAGGACUAGGUUUUGGCGUGUGCAGUGCCCAAGAGAUCGAUGUACGUGGAAGCCUCCCCUGCCCCCAGAUGGGAGUUUGUCUCCGCACACGUUUUUAUGAGCUGCUCGGGUCUGAGCAACGCCAGGAUCUGUCCUGCAAGCUGAACCUGGUGGUAGUAGGAAGCUGGAGGAGCUGCACCAUGCAGGCUGGUUGGCAGAUGUUUGUGGGUUUGGGUAUGAAAAUGAACCCAAAGGGAUGAGGCCAAGCCUGGGUCCUGGGAAACUAACCAGUGGGGCUGCUCCAGAUGUGGGACCUGGGGAAAGGCAACGUGGGGGUAGCUGACCCGAGGAGAUCCCCACGUAGGGAUCUCAAAGCCCUGAUGGUAACGUUUGUGAGAAGAGUGGGCAAAAGGGGAGGAGAAGGGGCACUCUGUCACCUGUUUGUGAGUCACUAGCAACUCAAAGGAAAAGUCUCUUAAAUGCCUUUGGCACCAAGGGCAAACAGAUACCGCACAUGCUGGGCAUUACUUGGUGUCUGCUGCAGACAGGAAACCAGCCCAGGACCUGGAGAGAGAGGGCAAGGACAUGCUGGCUUUAGGGGUGACCCAGCCAUCCUCCAACCCCUGGGCCUUGCCUGUGGGACUGAUCCCCAAGAAGGACGGGUUGAUCUGGUUCAGUGGGGACCAUCCGAAGCUCAGUGCCAUCAGUAUGUCUGAUGCCUACCCCGUGCUCUUGACUGAUGAGACCCUAGACAAGUUGGGGCGGGGCCUGGUAUCUCAUUACCACAGAUCUCACCAAAGGCCACUGGCCGGUGCCCUUGCACCCAGAAGUAGUAAGAGCUAGAGCCAGGGAAGUCCCGUCUCCGGAGGUGGUGUAGCUGCAUGGCCUGCUCUGAAGGAAGAGUGGGACCUGCUGAGGGGUCUGGCCCACUGAAGAGUUCCUCCAAGAGGCUGUUCCAAAGCUGGGGUUGUAGCACCGAUCUGGGGGAGGUGUAACAAAUGGAGCAGCUGAUACAGAACUUGGUUAAUAAAGAAUUAAAGGAGGGUGGUAUAAUUAAUGGCAAACAUCACGGCUUUAUGGGAAAUAGACCGUGUCAAACUAACGAUGUAUUUUUUAUGAGAUGACAAGUUUGACUGGUAAAGAUAACAGUUGACAUAACAUACUCAGACUUCUCUAAGGCCUUGUCCACACUACACAGUUUUGUUGACAGAAGUCAGUUUCAUUGACAAAACAUUGGAUGAGUAUAUGCUGCACUGCAUCUCCUGUUGGUGGAACGCCCCUGCCAUGCUGAGAAAACCACCACUCCGAGAGGCACGGAGCUUCAUGCAAUGUAGGUAGAGCAGCCAGAGGCACGGAGCUUUGCACGACAUGGGGCGAGCAGCGUGGAGCUUCACGUGAUGUAGGUAGAGUGGCCAGAGGAGCGGAGCUUGGCACAACAUAGGUAGAGUGACCAGAGGCGCGGAGCUUGGCGCAACGUAGGUAGAGUGGCCAGAGGCGCGGAGCUUGGCACAACGUAGGUAGAGCGGCCAGAGGCGCGGAGCUGGGCACAAUGUAGGUAGAGCGGCCAGAGGCGCGGAGCUGGGCACAACGUAGGUAGAGUGGCCAGAGGCGUGGAGCUUGGCGCAACGUAGGUAGAGUGGCCAGAGGCGUGGAGCUUGGCGCAACGUAGGUAGAGCGGCCAGAGGCGUGGAGCUUCACGCAAUGUAGGUAGAGCGGCCAGAGGCGUGGAGCUUGGCGCAACGUAGGUAGAGCGGCGAGCAGUGCGGAGCUUGGCGCAACGUAGGUAGAGCGGCCAGAGGCAUGGAGCUUGGCACAAUGUAGGUAGAGUGGCCAGAGGCGCGGAGCUUGGCACAACGUAGGUAGAGUGGCCAGAGGCGUGGAGCUUGGCGCAAUGUAGGUAGAGUGGCCAGAGGAGCGGAGCUUGGCGCAACGUAGGUAGAGUGGUCAGAGGCGUGGAGCUUGGCGCAAAGUAGGUAGAGCAGCGAGCAGCGCGGAGCUUCACACGACGUAGGUAGAGUGGCCAGAGGAGCGGAGCUUGGCGCGACGUAGGUAGAGUGGCCAGAGGCGCGGAGCUUCAUGCGACAUAGGUAGAGCGAUGCAGUGUCAGUGUAGACACCUCACUUAGUGUUCACAUUA